rnacentral:rRNA from 1 species
GACGAACGCUGGCGGCGUGCUUAACACAUGCAAGUCGAACGGAAAGGCCCUGCUUUUGUGGGGUGCUCGAGUGGCGAACGGGUGAGUAACACGUGGGUAACCUGCCCUUGACUUUGGGAUAACUUCAGGGAACUGGGGCUAAUACCGGAUAGGUGCUCCUGCUGCAUGGUGGGGGUGGGAAAGUUUCGGCGGUUGGGGAUGGACUCGCGGCUGAUCAGCUUGUUGGUGGGGAAGUGGCUUACCAAGGCUUUGACGGGUAGCCGGCCUGAGAGGGUGACCGGCUACAGUGGGACUGGGAUACGGCCCAGACUCCUACGGGAGGCAGCAGUGGGGAAUAUGGCAUAAGGGGCGGAAGCCUGAUGCAGCAACGCCGCGUGCGGGAUGAUGGCCUUCGGGUUGUAAACCGAUUUCGCCUGUGACGAAGCGUGAGUGACGGUAAUGGGUAAAGAAGCACCGGCUAACUACGUG